UUCAGAGGUCACCAGCUAUGGUUAGUCAGCCAUAACUUCUGGGUGAACCGGCAUGAAAAUUGGUGAGAGAGAGAAAGGAGCUGAAUAUGAAUAUGGUUCCUUUGGGCUAUUCAGGAGGCAGAAAGGCUGUAAGUCCCAACAAAUAGAAGUUGUACAUCUACCUGCAGCUGCUUGUGGAUUGCUCUGGGAGCCUUAGCCCAGUGGACUUGAAUGACACCUGCAUUGUAGUGGAAUUGAUCUCAGGAUCAGGACACAGUCAGAAGGCUCUGGCCAAGAACCUUGGAAGAGGACCUCACCAGAAUACAACCACGCUGGCACCUGGAUCACAGACUUCCAGCCCCCAGAACUAGGGACUUUGUGUAAAUCCAGGAGCCCAGUGGGAGAAGUCCCAGCCUGCUGUUGGAGCGGGAGAGAAAAUCUGAGAUUGGAUACGUCAAAGAGGAUAAUUGAAUGGAAAGGAAAACCUUGAACCAUCUAGAAGUCAGCUGGCAGAUGGGAGAUUUGCACAGUGUCAAGAGGUUUCAUGAGGAGAAACAGCUGUGAUGGCCUUUUUCACAGCAGAGCUAAUACCAGAAAAGUCCUACUCUAUACAACGGGAGAAUGUCCGACCUGCCCAGUUCGCAUUCAAUUGCAUUCUACAGCGCAUGGAAGAGUUAACACUGACCUGGAGAUAGACCGUGAAGUAUGCUGUUGGCUGUUAAGUAGAAAGACAACUUCCUUCUUAUUCUUCCUGACAUUAGUCACCAGGGGGUCUUGAGGAUGGAGUCUGAGAAGCACCCCAGGAGAAGUCUAGCAUGGUUGGCCUUCGCUUGACAGAGAUCAGAUGUAGAAGAGCAGAUGCUGUGAUCAGCGGGCAACUCUGUUGGGUAGCGUGGUCUUCCAGCACUUCGUAAGAAAGAUUCACCCACGGCAGAGGCAGUAAUAUUCUAGUUAUAGGAUUCUGUCAACUUUCUGGUAAGCUCAGAUAACAUACAUCUCCAGAAGUGUCUAUGCACCUGACCCAGUGGAGUCCAGAGGUUUCGGCUUAAGCUACUCUCAACAGCAUAGUCUUCUGGGAUUGGAAGAUUUUUAUUACCUAUUCAUGCAAGCAUGGGAGAAACUGUGAAGGGGUUUCUUUGUUUCUUGUUUUGUUGUUGUUGUUGUU